CUCCGGUUGAUCCCGCCGGACCUGACUGCUAUCGGAUUGGUACUAGGCCAUGCGAGUCAUUGUAGCAAUACAAGGCGGACGGCUCAGUAACACGUAGUCAACCUAACUCGUGGACGUGGAUAACCUCGGGAAACUGAGAAUAAACCACGAUAGAUCAUAGUGCCUGGAAUGGCUUAUGGUCCAAACAGUUUACUGCCAUGGGAUGGGACUGCGGCCUAUCAGCUUGUUGGUGAGGUAAUGGCCCACCAAGGCGAUUACAGGUACGGGCUCUGAGAGGAGAAGCCCGGAGAUGGGUACUGAGACACGGACCCAGGCCCUAUGGGGCGCAGCAGGCGAGAAACCUUAGCAAUGUGCGAAAGCACGACUGGGUCAGUCCGAGUGAUUCCUGAUAAAGGAGUCUUUUGCUUGUCCUAAAAGCACAGGUGAAUAAGGGGUGGGCAAGUCUGGUGUCAGCCGCCGCGGUAAUACCAGCACCUCGAGUGGUCAGGACGUUUAUUGGGCCUAAAGCAUCCGUAGCCGGCUCUGCAAGUCUUCGGUUAAAUCCACCUGCUCAACAGAUGGGCUGCUGGAGAUACUACAGAGCUAGGGAGUGGGAGAGGCAGACGGUAUUCAGUGGGUAGGGGUAAAAUCCUCUGAUCCAUUGAGGACCACCAGUGGCGAAGGCGGUCUGCCAGAACACGUUCGACGGUGAGGGAUGAAAGCUGGGGGAGCAAACCGGAUUAGAUACCCGGGUAGUCCCAGCUGUAAACGAUGCAAACUCGGUGAUGCAUUGGCUUAUGGCCAAUGCAGUGCCGCAGGGAAGCCGUUAAGUUUGCCGCCUGGGAAGUACGGACGCAAGUCUGAAACUUAAAGGAAUUGGCGGGGGAGCA
rnacentral:rRNA from 1 species